rnacentral:rRNA from 1 species
GACGAACGCUGGCGGCGUGCUUAACACAUGCAAGUCGAACGAGAAUCUGUGGAAAGAGGAUUCGUCCAAUUGAAGCAGAGGACAGUGGCGGACGGGUGAGUAACGCGUGAGGAACCUGCCUUUCAGAGGGGGACAACAGUUGGAAACGACUGCUAAUACCGCAUGACAUAUAGAUGUCGCAUGGCAUUUAUAUCAAAGAUUUAUCGCUGAAAGAUGGCCUCGCGUCUGAUUAGCUAGUUGGUGAGGUAACGGCCCACCAAGGCGACGAUCAGUAGCCGGACUGAGAGGUUGAACGGCCACAUUGGGACUGAGAUACGGCCCAGACUCCUACGGGAGGCAGCAGUGGGGAAUAUUGGGCAAUGGGCGCAAGCCUGACCCAGCAACGCCGCGUGAAGGAAGAAGGCUUUCGGGUUGUAAACUUCUUUUGUCAGGGACGAGUAGAAGACGGUACCUGACGAAUAAGCCACGGCUAACUACGUGCCAGCAGCCGCGGUAAUACGUAGGUGGCACAGCGUUGUCCGGAUUUACUGGGUGUAAAGGGCGUGUAGCCGGGAGGGCAAGUCAGAUGUGAAAUCCACGGGCUCAACUCGUGAACUGCAUUUGAAACUACUCUUCUUGAGUAUCGGAGAGGCAAUCGGAAUUCCUAGUGUAGCGGUGAAAUGCGUAGAUAUUAGGAGGAACACCAGUGGCGAAGGCGGAUUGCUGGACGACAACUGACGGUGAGGCGCGAAAGCGUGGGGAGCAAACAGGAUUAGAUACCCUGGUAGUCCACGCUGUAAACGAUGAAUACUAGGUGUGCGGGGACUGACCCCCUGCGUGCCGCAGCUAACGCAAUAAGUAUUCCACCUGGGGAGUACGAUCGCAAGGUUGAAACUCAAAGGAAUUGACGGGGGCCCGCACAAGCGGUGGAUUAUGUGGUUUAAUUCGAAGCAACGCGAAGAACCUUACCAGGGCUUGACAUCCUACUAACGAGAUAGAGAUAUGUUAGGUGCCCUUCGGGGAAAGUAGAGACAGGUGGUGCAUGGUUGUCGUCAGCUCGUGUCGUGAGAUGUUGGGUUAAGUCCCGCAACGAGCGCAACCCCUAUUGUUAGUUGCUACGCAAGAGCACUCUAGCGAGACUGCCGUUGACAAAACGGAGGAAGGUGGGGACGACGUCAAAUCAUCAUGCCCCUUAUGUCCUGGGCUACACACGUAAUACAAUGGCGGUCAACAGAGGGAUGCAAAACCGUGAGGUGGAGCGAACCCCUAAAAGCCGUCCCAGUUCAGAUCGUGGGCUGCAACCCGCCCACGUGAAGUCGGAAUCGCUAGUAAUCGCGGAUCAGCAUGCCGCGGUGAAUACGUUCCCGGGCCU